ACUAACUUUUACUCAGGAGUAGACCUAUUGAAAUUAAUGGCCAUGAGUAACUUUGGCCCAUUAAUUUCAAUGGGUCUACUCCUGAGUAAAAGUUAGU